rnacentral:rRNA from 1 species
ACUGCUCAGUAACACGUAGUCAACAUGCCCAGGGGACGUGGAUAACCUCGGGAAACUGAGGAUAAACCGCGAUAGGUCAUAGUAUCUGGAAUGAUUUAUGGCUUAAAUCUAUAUGGCCUCUGGAUUGGACUGCGGCCGAUCAGGCUGUUGGUGAGGUAAUGGCCCACCAAACCUAAAACCGGUACGGGCUCUGAGAGGAGAAGCCCGGAGAUGGGCACUGAGACAAGGGCCCAGGCCCUAUGGGGCGCAGCAGGCGCGAAAACUCUGCAAUAAGCGAAAGCUUGACAGGGUUAUUCUGAGUGAUUUCCGCUAAGGAAAUCUUUUGGCACCUCUAAAAAUGGUGCAGAAUAAGGGGUGGGCAAGCCUGGUGUCAGCCGCCGCGGUAAUACCAGCACCCCGAGUGGUCGGGACGAUUAUUGGGCCUAAAGCAUCCGUAGCCGGUUCUACAAGUCUUCCGUUAAAUCCACCUGCUCAACAGAUGGGCUGCGGAGGAUACUAUAGAGCUAGGAGGCGGGAGAGGCAAGCGGUACUUAGUGGGUAGGGGUAAAAUCCGUUGAUCCAUUGAAGACCACCAGUGGCGAAGGCGGCUUGCCAGAACGCACUCGACGGUGAGGGAUGAAAGCUGGGGGAGCAAACCGGAUUAGAUACCCGGGUAGUCCCGGCUGUAAACGAUGCAGACUCGGUGAUGAAUAGGCUUCGUGCCUAUUCAGUGCCGCAGGGAAGCCGUUAAGUCUGCCGCCUGGGGAGUACGGUCGCAAGACUGAAACUUAAAGGAAUUGGCGGGGGAGCA